CAGGUACAUGGGCCGUGUCUUCUUUUGCUUCUGCUCGGCGGCCGGCUCCUCCUCGCUCUCCGAGGACGACGCUGUGGGGCCACCGGGAGACACCUGCCAUCAGACACCACCCCCUGCAUUCCCCAGGCCGAGAAUCCCACUGGGCUGGGCCAGAUCGAGGUUUCAAAGCCCCAAGCCACCAGUCCCGGCUGUGUAGCAGGUAUCCCCCAGGCGGUGACAAUUCGAGCAUCGCCGACCCGCGACCCCCGGGCCCACACCACCGACAUCCUGGACGCUCGACUCCCCACUGCAGACUCAAAAAUCACAAGGCGCCGGCGCUGUGGUCAGGCACAAGUCUUAAUUUAAUGGGUAAAAACAUUAAAUUAUCACACACAACAAUUUUUUCCAUAAAGCUUAAUAAAUAGAAUCUUUUCUUUUUUUUAACGCUGUACAAGAGACUGGAAAACAAGCUUCCAACAAAAUAGGAAUGAACUCAUACUACCCUUUUAUUGAUUUGGAAUACCCCCCUCCCCCGAUGCCCGAAAGCAGUGUGCACACUUGAGGUCUCUCUCUGGGUGCAGCCGGCCAAGGUCGCCAGGUUCCAGGAGCCCUGGAAGCGAUGACCUCACUCGGGCUGGGCUUUUAAACGCUCUGCCCUUGGGCCUCGUCUGCGGCCCCAGCAGCCCGGGGCGUGGAGGAAACUGAACCGUUUACGUUGUUGCUGCCUGCAGGAGCCCUUCUCUGCUCGAUACACCAAAAGGGGUGAGAAAAAGAAAUGAGAAAUGGCCCUCGAACACA